GAGGUGUGUGUGUGUCCUGUCCAAUCCAAAUCGGAAGUAACCCGUCGUCGUCGUCGUCGUCGUCAAUUUGGAGAACCCGCGGACGCGGCAUGGGUGUGCAGCAACUGGGAGGCGCCGGCGGCGGGCGCGGGGGCGGCCGGCGGAGCCGCCGAGGUCGCCGUGAGGCACCACCGCGCCUUGCCCACCGGUGCGCCGACGAAGGACUCCGGGCUCCUCUCCGCGUGGAUGCAAUCAAGGGAAGCCACAGUACAGUCUCCUGUAUGGCGCAGGUGCGAGCAUGGAAUACACCCAUUUGGUGACCCUAAAGCAUCUGAGCAUGAAACACUACAGCAAACCUUGACAGCACUGCUGAAUUGCUGCUAAGAAGUGGUAAAGUCUUGCUGAAGCUCUUAUGAUUCUUUUCCUGAGGCAUACAUCCCACAUUGUGAUGAAAUAUCCUGAGAUAUGGAGUGCAUUAGUAGAUAUAGAAGCCAUGGGUAUACAUCAAAUUUGUCAUAUACUAACUGGUGCAAUUUCUAUCGAAGUGAAGGUUCUCUUGAUUUGUGCAUUAAGCGAUCCACUUUUAUGACUACUAUAAAGGUCACAUGGAGGCUUGAGAUGGACCUGCUUUGCUCUUAUUUAGCUGGGCAGAGAAAUAUUAUCAUUCUGGGUGAAGACGUUCUCUGCGAAGAGUCUAGCAAACUUUGUGUUCAUCCAAUAGGACCAAUACAGACCUGGAGGCGAAUAUCGUGCAAAUAAUCCUGAGAUGUCAAAGCUGCCGCGCAAAGCAGUUCAUGAAAAAAAAAAAGGUGAUAAUGCAUACACCAUGUACCAGCAUCUGCAAACCGUCCUGUCAAUGUGGAAUUCCCCUUCCCUUGGAGCUAUUUCCAGAUAAACAAAUGAAGCUAUUGCAAUUGCAAUGAAUAGAACAGGAGGGAUACUCAGGGGAAGGUGGUGAGGUGCGUCAGAUAACUUUCUGUUAGAUGAAGAUAGCUAUUUAAUUGCUUCUGGACUUCUUAUUUUGCGGACCCAAUCCGCUGAAGUCCCCUUGCAGAUGUUGUUGAUGAGUAUUCUCCAAUACUUGCUCAUCUCAAAAGUCUGCAGAAUGGAGACGCUGCCACAAGUUCCAUUAAGCAGAUUAUGAUGGUGGCACUGGAGCUAGGCCAAUUAGUUUGAUUAAGCAUUCUGCCGGUCCUUGGGAACUUGGUCUUUCAGAAGCACACCAGGUUAGCCUCAUCUAUUUGUUUGUUAUUACCCUAUUGAAAUAUCUUGUUUGUUCUAAUGCUAGUUAACUUUUCUCCUGACACUUAUGCAAAAUUGAUUGUGAGAGAGGAUGGUAGGGUGGAUGGUGGAUUCAGAAGUUGCCAAUAUGUCCUUAUGGCUAGUGUCAUGGGCGUGGAUGAAUAUGGUUUUGGUUCUGUGGCUAUGAAUAGCUACUGGAUGUGUUCAAGAUGUCCACACUAAUGGCCCUGUUCUUGAUGAGACAAUCCUUGCAAAUCCUGAUAUAUCUGAUGUAAUUGAGAAUGAGGAGGUUUCCAAGAUAUUAUAAUGUUGAGAGGGCUGUCUGUGGUCAAGUAGCAGGUGUCAUUGCGAAGAAGUUUACUGGAAGUGCAGGGCCAGUCUUUUGGAUGUUUUCUAACUCCUGGAAUACUCUGCAAGUUGAGAGAGGCCAAUGAUUAUGUUGGAAAGAAUUUGCAGGGCAUGGGUGGUGGAGAGAUGGUUGUAGCUCCUGUAGAGUGUACUAGAUAGCACAGGAUUCGUUCCUGACUUCCUGACGAAGCUACUAUAGCUGGAAACGCUUGUCUGUGUUGGCUACUAGUGAGCAGGUAUUUGUGACAGGCAAAACAGGUGAAACUCUCUUGGUCAAUCAGUGGUUGAGGUCAGGGCACUGGAGAUCAUUGCUGCGAGUACAUGAUCGGUGGCUGUGUAGUUGGCAAAUCCUCCCUGUUUCACAAUCCGGCAGAGCCCGGGCAGCUGCUCAGGGUCGCCGGGCCUUGGCUCCGACGCUGGUCCUGACAUAUGCAUAUUCCUCAAUUGGUAGAGUAAGGAGGAACGUUGCAGCUGGAAUGACGGGUGGCCUUGCCUAUGUUCAACUGCAAUCAGCAAGUGAUCAUCAGAUUAGGUGACAGGAAGGUGUUCGUUCUUUGACACUUUCCUGGGACAGCAUCAUGGAAAAAGAAAUAACCCAGGAUACUUGUGACGCAACGAAGUGCCCCGAAUACUGCGAAUUUUGUGGAACCUCAUAAAGGCAGCGAAAGCUGAAAACACUUCUAAACUUCUCGAAUCCUCUACAGGAUUCGUGCCAUUUGUAAUCAUAUUUUGGUUCUGGGCAAUUUAAGUUUUGAGCUGUUUUACCGGUACUAAUGGGUAUUAGUAAUAGGUACCAAGGUAGGAGUACCAAUCAUGUCUAUACGUCAGUCCAUUCAUGAUGAAGGGUAGUAUGAUCAGAAUGUGUAAAUGUCGGUCCGUACUCGCUACACGCCUACACCAUCUUCCGAGACAUUCAUCUCUGGGCAGCUACAAAUAAUCUCCAUCGUGGUUGUUAUACGCGACCAUGCGCCGGCGCCACGCCGUGGCUCCCGUGCUCCUGUGCUGCCUUGCCACGAGAUCCUGUACCGCUCGCCAUGGAGCUGUUCGGGAGCUUUCCUCUGACCCGCGGGGCGCUGCUGUUAUGCAGACCAUGACGGAUCGCACUUGGUUCUUGGUGAGGUAUAUAGGCACAAGCUGUGGAAGCGAGACUAUGUGGGAUGUGGCUGCAGUGGAGGCGAUGGCGAGACAAUGUCGGCGUUGGACUUCGCCACCGGCAUCAACGAAAAUAGAGUGUCGUCAGCUGCUGUCAACGGCGGCAGUACUACACUAUUACUGCACUGUGUUGCUAGUUUAAAUAACUGGUUUAUCUGUUUUAAUUCUAUCUUUGAGAAAACGCUACAUGCUCUCAUGAAUAAGCAGAGAAUCGGCUAAAUAGCCGAUUGCUUGGUGGCGGUGCAACUA